rnacentral:rRNA from 1 species
AACGAACGCUGGCGGCAUGCCUAACACAUGCAAGUCGAACGAAGCCUUCGGGCUUAGUGGCGCACGGGUGCGUAACGCGUGGGAAUCUGCCCUGGGGUGCGGAAUAACUCGGAGAAAUCCGUGCUAAUACCGCAUAAUGUCUUCGGACCAAAGAUUUAUUGCCCUGGGAUGAGCCCGCGUAGGAUUAGCUAGUUGGUGAGGUAAAGGCUCACCAAGGCGACGAUCCUUAGCUGGUCUGAGAGGAUGAUCAGCCACACUGGGACUGAGACACGGCCCAGACUCCUACGGGAGGCAGCAGUGGGGAAUAUUGGACAAUGGGCGAAAGCCUGAUCCAGCAAUGCCGCGUGAGUGAUGAAGGCCUUAGGGUUGUAAAGCUCUUUUACCCGGGAUGAUAAUGACAGUACCGGGAGAAUAAGCUCCGGCUAACUCCGUGCCAGCAGCCGCGGUAAU